rnacentral:rRNA from 1 species
CUCAACGCGGGAAAUCUUACCGGGUCCGGACACACUGAGGAUUGACAGAUAUAUACCCCGUGAUUUUAUCGCGGGGUUGAAAGAUGCUAGUUCUUUCAUGAUUAUGUGAUAGGUGGUGCAUGGCCGUUCUUAGUUCGUGGAGUGAUCUGUCUGCUUAAUUGCGUAUCAAUAAUAGAGACCUAGUAUACGCGUAGACUCAUGCGGUAGUGACCCCCCUUCACAGGGCGCGUGUCGCACGUAUGUUAUACGCACAGGUCUCCGAUAGCAACGAACGUGACCGUACUCUAUUGUUGCAGCGACAAUACCUUUCAACGGGUAUUACCGCUGCUUAGCAAGAUUCGUCUUGCAUUAAACUAUAGAGACCGCUGUUUCUUCUUUAAACCAGAGGAAGGAUACGGCAAUAACAGGUCUGUGAUGCCCUCAGAUGUUCCGGGCUGCACACGUGCUACAAUGAUCAUUGCACUGUGCAUCUAACCCAAUGUGCGCGGACGCCGCCGUGCGUAUAUACUUUAUUGUGUAUGCGUAUCGUGCGUGCGACCGCGCCGAACCUGCUUCGAAAGUAAACAUUUCCAGCGGGUAAUCCAUUAGAAGUAAUGACUCGCAUAGACCAUGGCACACUAUAUGUACCCGCGGGUUCUACCCGGCUCGCCUUUGUGUGAGUGCAGUGCGUAGCUCGUUGUUUGGUACGUGCCACUCCGUAUUAAUUCAUACGUGGGGAUAGAUCAUUGUUUAAUUGUUGGUCUCGGUCUUAACUAAGAAUGCCUUGUACGGGUCUUUGGUUCAACAUACCACCCNGAAUAC